rnacentral:misc_RNA from 1 species
CGCACAUUGCGCCCUUUGGUAUUCUGAAGGGCAUGUCUGUUCGAGCGUCAUUUUCCACUAUCAAGCUUGGCUUGUAUUUGGGACUAUCACUUGAUAUUCCCGAAAGACAAUGGCGGCGUCAGAUUGGACUCCCGGUGCAGCGAGCUUUAAGCAUACACUGAGCAGUCUGUCUGGCCUUGCCUUGAACCCAUCUCAAGGUUGACCUCGGAUCAGAUAGGAAUACCCGCUGAACUUAA